GUAACUGUAGGAUUGAACAUCGUGUCAACGAGAAUAAUUUACUUGCAUUACAUUUUACUCAUUUAGUUGGCGCGUUUCUCCAAGCUACUUACAGUUAAAAUACUUACUACAGUCACAGUGUUCUGCAUCUGAGACAUUAAGACAAUUAUUUUGAUAAGACCUGAUGCAUAUUCAGUAAGCGUAUUCAUUCACAAGACAGGGUUGCCAACCGUCCCGUAUAAUACAGAAUCUAGGGCAGAGAGUUGAAGCCGUACGGACGCGGUUUGUCCCGUAUUAAUUAUCUAUUAUUUAACCUUUCACACCCAGAAACAUUUAAAAGUAUUUAUUACAUAUAUUUACUGCAUAAAUAAACUUCGCAGUUUGCAAGUGUUAAGAAUAUUAGGAAAACAUCGCAAAAAUGGAUGUGAAACACAGCUGUGUCGCGUUUGUGAGUUCGACAGUCAUUGGUCGUUGCUACGUUACCUGGAUGCUACAUUUGUCAGUGGAGGGGUCAAGGGUCAAGGGUAAAGGUUAAAGGGAACACCUCCCCCUGCCCGCCCGCGCGAGGGAAGGCAGGUAGCUAGUAAACUAGGUGUCAUAAAGGCUACUAACACUACACCUCGUAAAUGAAAACGAUUAGAGAAGUAUUAAAAAAAAAAUUGGACAGAGAUCCGAAGGCUUAGCGCAGUGCAGAACGAGUUUAUGGCGAAUUGUGUACUGUAAUUUAAACUUUGUCUGUGUACGGUAUGUAGAGAGAUUUUUCUCAGCCGGUGGAGUUGUAAUUGUACGCGACGUCAAACAAGAUGCGUCCACGGAAAAUCACGGACGGAACGACCCCCCCCCCCCCCAGGCAGCAAUUUCCACUUUUUUUUUUUGUUGCACUAUCACCUCAGCCGAUGCUGGGGUAAACUGAGCUGUUCCUCUACACUUGCCCUGCAAACUCCACUGAAGGAGGAGCCUGGAUUCUUCAUGCUAAUGAGGAGGGACAACAUCUAAGUGUCAGUGAUUUGGUCCGAGUAACACACUAAUCCAACUUCGUAUUGCUUGACAGGUGCUGUUAGUUCUUCAGUCAACACAAAUAGUGGAAAAAGUGAAAAUGUCAUUUUCCUAAAUUCAAGCAAGGAUCAAACCCAGAGCCAAACUCUAGCUUUUCAUUGUGCAAAAGCUGCCCAUUUGACAAUAAUGCACACAUGUUGCCAGUUUAUAACGUUCCCUGAAUCAACCAUGAGUACAAAUGUCAUAAGGUAUUUCUUGGAAAACAAAAAACAGGAACGCAACAUUAACAAAUAACAGAUCUCUGAAAAUGAAUGAUGCAGCUUCAAAAUAAACAAAUUGACCAGAUCUAUUAAUUAAAAAGA
rnacentral:lncRNA from 1 species